rnacentral:rRNA from 1 species
GUUAUAAUUCUAGCCACCAAUCUAAACCAACAUCCCCUAAUAAAUACCGAAAUAAAUCAUUUUAUAAUGGAAGUAUAGGCGAAAGAAACCAUCACUUGAGCAAUAGAAAUAGUACUGCAAAGGAA